UACGAAGGGGGCUAGCGUUGCUCGGAAUGACUGGGCGUAAAGGGCGCGUAGGCGGAUGGCACAGUCAGAUGUGAAAUUCCCGGGCUUAACCUGGGGGCUGCAUUUGAUACGUGUUGUCUAGAGUGAGGAAGAGGGUUGUGGAAUUCCCAGUGUAGAGGUGAAAUUCGUAGAUAUUGGGAAGAACACCGGUGGCGAAGGCGGCAACCUGGUCCUUGACUGACGCUGAGGCGCGAAAGCGUGGGGGGCAAACAGG
rnacentral:rRNA from 1 species